rnacentral:tRNA from 1 species
GCCGGUGUGGCGGAAUUGGCAGACGCAGGGGACUUAAAAUCCCCCGGUAGCGAUACCGUACCGGUUCGAACCCGGUCACCGGCACCA